rnacentral:rRNA from 2 species
GGUCAAGCUAAUAAGGGCUAAUGGUGGAU